AACGCUAGCUACAGGCUUAACACAUGCAAGUCGAGGGGCAGCAUGAACUUAGCUUGCUAAGUUUGAUGGCGACCGGCGCACGGGUGAGUAACACGUAUCCAACCUGCCGAUGACUCGGGGAUAGCCUUUCGAAAGAAAGAUUAAUACCCGAUGGCAUAGUUCUUCCGCAUGGUAGAACUAUUAAAGAAUUUCGGUCAUCGAUGGGGAUGCGUUCCAUUAGGUUGUUGGCGGGGUAACGGCCCACCAAGCCUUCGAUGGAUAGGGGUUCUGAGAGGAAGGUCCCCCACAUUGGAACUGAGACACGGUCCAAACUCCUACGGGAGGCAGCAGUGAGGAAUAUUGGUCAAUGGACGAGAGUCUGAACCAGCCAAGUAGCGUGAAGGAUGACUGCCCUAUGGGUUGUAAACUUCUUUUAUACGGGAAUAAAGUGAGGCACGUGUGCCUUUUUGUAUGUACCGUAUGAAUAAGGAUCGGCUAACUCCGUGCCAGCAGCCGCGGUAAUACGGAGGAUCCGAGCGUUAUCCGGAUUUAUUGGGUUUAAAGGGAGCGUAGGCGGACGCUUAAGUCAGUUGUGAAGGUUUGCGGCUCAACCGUAAAAUUGCAGUUGAUACUGGGUGUCUUGAGUACAGUAGAGGCAGGCGGAAUUCGUGGUGUAGCGGUGAAAUGCUUAGAUAUCACGAAGAACUCCGAUUG
rnacentral:rRNA from 1 species